AGAGUUUGAUCCUGGCUCAGGACGAACGCUGGCGGCGUGCUUCAUACAUGCAAGUCGAACGAGAAUCUCUAGCUUGCUAGAGAGGAAAGUGGCGGACGGGUGAGUAAAAUGUAGAGAAUCUGCCCUUGAGCGGGGGACAACAGUUGGAAACGGCUGCUAAUACCCCAUAUGAGCGUACCUGAGAUGGUAUUCUUGAAAACUCCGGUGCUCAAGGAUGAGUCUGCAUCUGAUUAGCUAGUUGGCGGGGUAAUGGCCCACCAAGGCGACGAUCAGUAGCUGGUUUGAGAGGAUGAUCAGCCACAAUGGGACUGAGACACGGCCCAUACUCCUACGGGAGGCAGCAGUAGGGAAUUUUGCGCAAUGGGGGAAACCCUGACGCAGCAACGCCGCGUGAACGAGACGCCCUUCGGGGUGUAAAGUUUUGUCAGUGGGGACGAACAAAUGACGGUACCCACAGAGGAAGCACCGGCUAACUCCGUGCCAGCAGCCGCGGUAAUACGGAGGGUGCAAGCGUUGUCCGGAAUCAUUGGGCGUAAAGAGUUCGUAGGCGGCAUGUAAAGUCAGGUGUUAAAGGCUGAGGCUCAACCUCAGUAUGGCACUUGAUACUUGCAAGCUAGAAUGCGGUAGAGGUAAAGGGAAUUCCUGGUGUAGCGGUGAAAUGCUUAGAUAUCAGGAGGAACAUCGGUGGCGUAAGCGCUUUACUGGGCCGUAAUUGACGCUGAGGAACGAAAGCCAGGGUAGCAAAUGGGAUUAGAUACCCCAGUAGUCCUGGCCGUAAACGAUGGAUACUAGGUGUUGCGGGUAUCGACCCCUGCAGUGCCGUAGCAAACGCGUUAAGUAUCCCGCCUGGGGAGUACGCACGCAAGUGUGAAACUCAAAGGAAUUGACGGGGACCCGCAC
rnacentral:rRNA from 1 species